GACGAACGCUGGCGGCGUGCUUAACACAUGCAAGUCGAACGGAAAGGCCCUGCUUUUGUGGGGUGCUCGAGUGGCGAACGGGUGAGUAACACGUGAGUAACCUGCCCUUGACUUUGGGAUAACUUCAGGAAACUGGGGCUAAUACCGGAUAGGAGCUCCUGCUGCAUGGUGGGGGUUGGACAGUUUCGGCGGUUGGGGAUGGACUCGCGGCUGAUCAGCUUGUUGGUGGGGUAGUGGCUUACCAAGGCUUUGACGGGUAGCCGGCCUGAGAGGGUGACCGGCCACAUUGGGACUGAGAUACGGCCCAGACUCCUACGGGAGGCAGCAGUGGGGAAUAUUGCACAAUGGGCGGAAGCCUGAUGCAGCAACGCCGCGUGCGGGAUGACGGCCUUCGGGUUGUAAACCGCUUUCGCCUGUGACGAAGCGUGAGUGACGGUAAUGGGUAAAGAAGCACCGGCUAACUACGUG
rnacentral:rRNA from 1 species